GGCGCACGGGUGAGUAACACGUAGGUAAUCUGCCUUCGAGUGGUGGAUAACUCUCCGAAAGGGGAGCUAAUACAGCAUAAGACCACGAUUCUCCGGAGUCGCGGUCAAAGCGGGCCUCUCCAUGGAAGCUCGUGCUUGAAGAUGAGCCUGCGGCCCAUCAGCUAGUUGGCGGUGUAAUAGACCACCAAGGCUAAGACGGGUAGCUGGUCUGAGAGGAUGAACAGCCACACUGGAACUGAGACACGGUCCAGACUCCUACGGGAGGCAGCAGUGGGGAAUCUUGCGCAAUGGGGGAAACCCUGACGCAGCGACGCCGCGUGAGCGAUGAAGGCCUUCGGGUUGUAAAGCUCUGUGGAGAGGGACGAAUAAGUGCAAGCUAACAUUUUGCAUGAUGACGGUACCUCUUUAGCAAGCACCGGCUAACUCUGUGCCAGCAGCCGCGGUAAGACAGAGGGUGCAAACGUUGUUCGGAAUUACUGGGCGUAAAGCGCGUGUAGGCGGCAACACAAGUCGGAUGUGAAAUCCCGCGGCUUAACCGUGGAAGUGCACCCGAAACUGUGUCGCUAGAGUCCCGGAGAGGAUGGUGGAAUACUUGGUGUAGAGGUGAAAUUCGUAGAUAUCAAGUGGAACACCGGUGGCGAAGGCGGCCAUCUGGACGGUGACUGACGCUGAGACGCGAAAGCGUGGGUAGCAAACAGGAUUAGAUACCCUGGUAGUCC
rnacentral:rRNA from 1 species